GAUGAACGCUGGCGGCGUGCCUAAUACAUGCAAGUCGAGCGAACGGACGAGAAGCUUGCUUCUCUGAUGUUAGCGGCGGACGGGUGAGUAACACGUGGAUAACCUACCUAUAAGACUGGGAUAACUUCGGGAAACCGGAGCUAAUACCGGAUAAUAUUUUGAACCGCAUGGUUCAAAAGUAAAAGACGGUCUUGCUGUCACUUAUAGAUGGAUCCGCGCUGCAUUAGCUAGUUGGUAAGGUAACGGCUUACCAAGGCAACGAUGCAUAGCCGACCUGAGAGGGUGAUCGGCCACACUGGAACUGAGACACGGUCCAGACUCCUACGGGAGGCAGCAGUGGGGAAUCUUCCGCAAUGGGCGAAAGCCUGACGGAGCAACGCCGCGUGAGUGAUGAAGGUCUUCGGAUCGUAAAACUCUGUUAUUAGGGAAGAACAGAUGUGUAAGUAACUGUGCACAUCUUGACGGUACCUAAUCAGAAAGCCACGGCUAACUACGUG
rnacentral:rRNA from 1 species